rnacentral:rRNA from 1 species
UACGUAGGGUGCAAGGCGUUGUCCGGAAUUAUUGGGCGUAAAGAGCUCGUAGGCGGUUUGUCGUCGUCUGCUGUGAAAACCCGAGGCUCAACCUCGGGCCUGCAGUGGGUACGGGCAGACUAGAGUGCGGUAGGGGAGGAUUGGAAUUCCGUGGUGUAGCGGUGGAAUGCGCAGAUAUCAGGAGGAACACCGGUGGCGAAGGCGGGUCUCUGGGUAGUAACUGACGCUGAGGAGCGAAAAGCGUGGGGAGCGAACAGG